rnacentral:tRNA from 1 species
AAGAAAAUGGCAGAAUGGUCAUGUGGUUGACUUGAAAUCAACCUAAGGGGGUUCGAUUCCCUCUUUUCUCG